UGGGGAAUCUUGCGCAAUGGGCGAAAGCCUGACGCAGCAACGCCGCGUGCGGGAUGAAGGCCUUCGGGCUGUAAACCGCUUUCAGCAGGAACGAAAAUGACGGUACCUGCAGAAGAAGGAGCGGCCAACUACGUGCCAGCAGCCGCGGUGACACGUAGGCUCCAAGCGUUGUCCGGAUUUAUUGGGCGUAAAGAGCUCGUAGGCGGUUUAGUAAGUCGGGGGUUAAAACUCUGGGCUCAACCCGGAGAG
rnacentral:rRNA from 1 species